GGACUAUGAUAUGGAAAGCCCAAGCCCUUUCAAGAAAUCUGAUAUUAUCGGCAUUGUUCCUGUGUGUAAACAUGUAGGAUGCUCUUCUACAGAUGGGCGGACCCUAUUGGAGUCAUCAAAGAUGGCACUCGAUAAAGGAUAGCUAGAAGAUGCUGUCAACUAUGGAACGAAGGCAUUGGCAAAGAUGAUAGCGGUCUGUGGUCCCUAUCAUCGUACGACUGCGAGUGCGUACAGUCUGUUAGCUGUUGUGCUUUACCACACUGGAGACUUUAAUCAGGUAGAUAUAUAUAAUAUUCUUUUGUUAAUAAUCAGGUAGUCUGUUAAC